rnacentral:rRNA from 1 species
GGCCUACGGGGCGCAGCAGUGGGGAAUAUUGCACAAUGGGGGAAACCCUGAUGCAGCGACGCCGCGUGAGUGAAGAAGUAUUUCGGUAUGUAAAGCUCUAUCAGCAGGGAAGAAGAAAGACGGUACCUGACUAAGAAGCCCCGGCUAACUACGUGCCAGCAGCAGCGGUAAUACGUAGGGGGCAAGCGUUAUCCGGAUUUACUGGGUGUAAAGGGAGCGUAGACGGCUGUGCAAGUCUGAAGUGAAAGCCCAGG